rnacentral:rRNA from 1 species
UACAGAGGGUGCAAACGUUGCUCGGAGUUACUGGGCGUAAAGCGCGUGUAGGCGGUGCCGCACGUCCGGUGUGAAAGCCCAGGGCUCAACCCUGGAAGUGCACUGGAUACGACGGCGCUGGAGUCCUGAAGAGGAGGGCGGAAUUCCCGGUGUAGAGGUGAAAUUCGUAGAUAUCGGGAGGAACACCGGUGGCGAAGGCGGCGACCUGGGUAGAUACUGACGCUGAGGCGCGAAAGCGUGGGGAGCAAACAGG